rnacentral:rRNA from 1 species
UUUGCCUACGGGGGGCAGCAGUGGGGAAUAUUGCACAAUGGGGGAAACCCUGAUGCAGCGACGCCGCGUGAGUGAGGAAGUAUUUCGGUAUGUAAAGCUCUAUCAGCAGGGAAGAAAAUGACGGUACCUGAAAAAGAAGCUCCGGCUAAAUACGUGCCAGCAGCCGCGGUAAUACGUAUGGAGCAAGCGUUAUCCGGAUUUACUGGGUGUAAAGGGCGUGUAGGCGGGCAUGCAAGCCAGAAGUGAAAUCUGGGGGCUUAACCCCCAAACUGCUUUUGGAACUGCGUGUCUUGAGUGAUGGAGAG